UACGUAGGGGGCAAGCGUUGUCCGGAAUUAUUGGGCGGAAAGAGCGUGUAGGCGGCCAGGUAGGUCCGUUGUGAAAACUCGAGGCUCAACCUCGAGACGUCGGCGGAAACCCUCUGGCUAGAGUCCGGAAGAGGAGAGUGGAAUUCCUGGUGUAGCGGUGAAAUGCGUAGAUAUCAGGAGGAACACCGGUGGCGAAGGCGGCUUUCUGGACAGUAACUGACGCUGAGGCGCGAAAGCGUGGGGAGCGAACAGG
rnacentral:rRNA from 1 species